rnacentral:rRNA from 1 species
ACCAAGGGGAGGGUUGUUACCCACCUGGAAGGUGGAUCGCCAACUUGGGACUGAGACCCGGCCCAGAUUCCUACGGGAGGCAGCAGUAGGGAUCUUCCGCAAUGGACGAAAGUCCGACGGAGCAACGCCGCCUGAAUGAUGAAGGUUUUCGGAUCGAAAAGCUCCGUUGUUAGGGAAGAACAAGUGCGAGAGUAACUGCUCGCACCCGGACGGGACCUAACCAGAAAGCCACGGCUAACUACGGGCUUACAGCCGCGGUAAUACGUAGGUGGCAAGCGUUGUCCGGAAUUAUUGGGCGUAAAGGGCUCGCAGGCGGUUUCUUAAGUCUGAUGUGAAAGCCCCCGGCUCAACCGGGGAGGGUCAUUGGAAACUGGGAAACUUGAGUGCAGAAGAGGAGAGUGGAAUUCCACGUGUAGCGGUGAAAUGCGUAGAGAUGUGGAGGAACACCAGUGGCGAAGGCGACUCUCUGGUCUGUAACUGACGCUGAGGAGCGAAAGCGUGGGGAGCGAACAGGAUUAGAUACCCUGGUAGUCCACGCCGUAAACGAUGAGUGCUAAGUGUUAGGGGGUUUCCGCCCCUUAGUGCUGCAGCUAACGCAUUAAGCACUCCGCCUGGGGAGUACGGUCGCAAGACUGAAACUCAAAGGAAUUGACGGGGGCCCGCACAAGCGGUGGAGCAUGUGGUUUAAUUCGAAGCAACGCGAAGAACCUUACCAGGUCUUGACAUCCUCUGACAACCCUAGAGAUAGGGCUUUCCCUUCGGGGACAGAGUGACAGGUGGUGCAUGGUUGUCGUCAGCUCGUGUCGUGAGAUGUUGGGUUAAGUCCCGCAACGAGCGCAACCCUUGAUCUUAGUUGCCAGCAUUUAGUUGGGCACUCUAAGGUGACUGCCGGUGACAAACCGGAGGAAGGUGGGGAUGACGUCAAAUCAUCAUGCCCCUUAUGACCUGGGCUACACACGUGCUACAAUGGACAGAACAAAGGGCUGCGAGACCGCAAGGUUUAGCCAAUCCCAUAAAUCUGUUCUCAGUUCGGAUCGCAGUCUGCAACUCGACUGCGUGAAGCUGGAAUCGCUAGUAAUCGCGGAUCAGCAUGCCGCGGUGAAUACGUUCCCGGGCCUUGUACACACCGCCCGUCACACCACGAGAGUUUGCAACACCCGAAGUCGGUGAGGUAACCUUUAUGGAGCCGGUGCG